CGGGUUUUGGCGCAGCUUGGUAGCGCACCUGACUGGGGGUCAGGGGGUCGCAGGUUCAAAUCCUGUCAACCCGA
rnacentral:tRNA from 1 species